GUCCCUUUCGUCUAGGGGUAUAGGACAUCGUCUUUUCAUGGCGAGAACACGGGUUCGAAUCCCGUAAGGGAUAGCCUUACAUAUGCUCCGAGAGCCAGGC